UUGUCUCUGUGUUACUUGAAUAUUGCAUCUUGUGAAUAUUUGAGCGUCAAACGAGACACAUAAUAAAUUCCUAUUUCCACAUGAGUUGAUUCGAUAAUGAUCUACUCUUACUAAAGAUAGGAUACAUGU
rnacentral:snoRNA from 1 species